rnacentral:lncRNA from 1 species
UGUGUGUGUGUGCGUGCGUGCUUGUGUGUGUGCGUACGUGAAAGAGACGCCGAAGCGCGUCGUCAGGCUGCUACCUCUAGUUUAUGAAUUGCUCAAUAGAUGGCGUUGUGUCUAUAUGUCCUUGAAAAUAAUAUCACUAGAUGGUGUUAGUGGUUUUUCGUAUACGUUGAUUAUUAAAGAUGAUAAAUGGCGCUGUUAUAAUAA